rnacentral:lncRNA from 1 species
CACAGACACCUCCUCCUCCAGAUGACCAGCAUUGCCUCUGGGUUUGUCACAAGCUGGAACAGGGUCCUUUGGAGGAUGGGGCUCUCUGAAGAAAAAGAGGUGAAGUGUUUGGAUUCAGUCUGAGCCAAAGGCCACUUUAUCUGGGUUUAAGGACACAAGACUCCGUGAAAGACAAGCUAGUUCUUCUUCCUGCCCCGGGAGUCCACUGCAGGCCGAUGCAGACGCAACCACUUCCUCAGCCGCUGUGGCUGAGAGCCCGCCACUGCACUCUGUGGGCUUGGUGCUGGGUAUGGAGAGGAGGGUAUGACAUAGCCCCUGCCCUCAGAGUUUCUUAAGCAGGCCACCGAAGUCCCACAAGACCAAGUGGUGACUUUCCUACGCAUUAUCCCUGCUGUCUCUGGGGACUUCUUAAAUGUCAGCAAUCAUUGUCAUCUUCACUGUUGCCUCCGCAGCCACCGCACAUGGCUGCACCUGGGCCAUCUCCUCUGAUGUAAAGGCCGUGCAGCCAAAAUUUGCAAUUCUUCCCCCAACUUUUAAAAUUGUAGUAAAAUAUAUAUAACAUAAAA